AAGCAGUGCAGGCAUGUCACCUAGUUACCAUGGGCAUGACCCAAGCCCUGAGGCUGCUAGCCAGAGAAAAGGACUAUUUGAUCUUAAAGCAAGAACUAUGAAGAGAAGGUGAAGAAAGGAAGGAAAAUUCAUGAUAACUCAUCAUAUAUCAUAAGACACCAGCUUCUGAACAAGAGAACCAUGCCAGUCACUGUGACUCUAGACAGAGAACGAAGAAGUCCUCUACGAGCCCCAUGGGUUUACAGAAGUCUGUCAAUCUCUCUGUCCAUCUUCCGGAUCAUUAUUCAAGUCGCUAUCCCCAGUUUCGCUAGAUAUGGAAGAUCUAGUCCAGCUCCAGCUCUGUAGAUGAUUUUUCUUCCUAAUGGAUUAGGAAUUGGUUCCCUUUAAAUUAUCUUUGAGCUGAUCUGCUGCUCAAAAAAGCAGUAGGAAUGUCACCACCACCCGUGUUUGUUUUGUGUAUGUGUUUAUAUCUCUACCUCACCACCCUUGUAUUAUGAUUGCCACACGAGAACUUAAAGCUGUCCGUGGAACUGUUAGCAAAACUUAAUUGUAAAUGUCAUGGUUUCCUUAUUUCUCUUGACAUAUCUAUUGUAUCUUAUUGUAUUGGCUCUUUCAAGAAUCUGAAUAUUUUUCUAGGUCAGGAAAGAUAAUUCUAAAGAGUCCCAGAUUGAUGUAAAAAAAAAUUAACCAGAUGUUUAGUAAUUUUAUUAGUAAUGACCAAUGGACUGGGAAAUUUACAUAAAUGCUUACCAAAAUUCAAUCAGCAAAACAGAUAAAUGUAUUGAAUAAAGCUGGGAUGGCUAUUGCA